rnacentral:rRNA from 1 species
CCUACGGGUGGCAGCAGUGAGGAAUAUUGGUCAAUGGGCGUAAGCCUGAACCAGCCAAGUCGCGUGAGGGAUGACGGCUCUAUGGAUCGUAAACCUCUUUUAUAAGGGAAUAAAGUGUGGGACGUGUCCCAUUUUGUAUGUACUUUAUGAAUAAGGAUCGGCUAACUCCGUGCCAGCAGCCGCGGUAAUACGGAGGAUCCGAGCGUUAUCCGGAUUUAUUGGGUUUAAAGGGUGCGUAGGCGGGCUGUUAAGUCAGUGGUGAAAGUUUGCGGCUCAACCAUAGAAUUGCCGUUGAUACUGGGAGGCUUGAGUAUAUUUGAGGCAGGCGGAAUGCGUGGUGUAGCGGUGAAAUGCUUAGAUAUCACGCAGAACCCCGAUUGCGAAGGCAGCCUGCCAAGCCAUGACUGACGCUGAUGCUCGAAAGCGUGGGGAUCAAACAGGAUUAGAUACCCGGGUAGUC